CCCCCCUCCCCCCCACGGUGGCACAGAGAAGGCGCACAGCCGCACUCGUGGAAAAGGACUUUAAUUUGGGGAGGGGUCCGACUGCCACCCUCAGCCCCCCAUCCUCCCCACACCAAAAUGUCCGAAGGUGGAGAGCGGUGGGAAGAACCCAACGUGAAGAGCAACGGGAAAAGCCAACGUGAAGGGUGAGGUGUGCCACCCAAUGUGGGGCAAUGGGGCACCCAAUGGGGGGCAAUGGGGUAACCAAUGUGGGGCAAUGGGGUAACCAACGUGGGGAAAAUGGGGCAACUAACCUGAGCAAUGGGUCAACCAAUGUAGGGCAAUGGGGCACCCAACAUGGCACAUUGAGGGAACCCUACAUGGGGCACUGGGGCACCCAACGUGGGGCAAUGGGGUAACCAACGUGGGGCAAUGGGGCACCCAAUGGGGGGCAAUGGGGUAACCAAUGUGGGGCAAUGGGGUAACCCUACAUGGGGCAAUGGGGUAACCGAGGUGGGGCAAUGGGGCACCCAACGUGGGCAAUGGGAGAACCAACAUGGCACAAUGGGGCACCCAACGUGGGGAAAAUGGGGCAACUAACCUGAGCAAUGGGUCAACCAAUGUAGGGCAAUGGGGCACCCAACAUGGCACAUUGAGGGAACCCUACAUGGGGCACUGGGGCACCCAACGUGGGGCAAUGGGGCACCCAAUGGGGGGCAAUGGGGUAACCAAUGUGGGGCAAUGGGGUUACCAACGUGGGGCAAUGGGGCACCCAAUGGGGGGCAAUGGGGUAACCAACAUGGGGCAAUGGGGCAACCAACCUGAGCAAUGGGAGAGCCCCAUAUGGGGCAAUGGGGCACCCAACCUGAGCAAUGGGAGAACCAACAUGGCACAAUGGGGCAACCAACCUGAGCAAUGGGACAACCCUAUAUGGGGCAACGGGGCAACCAAGAUGGCGCAAUGGGACACCCAACAUGGGGCAAUGGGGUAACCCUACAUGAGGCAAUGGGACAGCCAACGUGGGGCAAUGGGGUAACCCUACAUGAGGCAAUGGGACAGCCAACGUGGGGCAAUGGCAAAACCCCAUAUGGGGCAAUGGGGCACCCAACCUGAGCAAUGAGGUACCCAACAUGGCACAAUGAGAGAACCUUACAUGGGGCAAUGGGGUAACCAACGUGGGGCAGUGGGGUAACCAAUGUGGGGCAGGGGGAGAACCCAACAGAAAGAGCAAUGGGGCACCCAACAUGGGGUAGUGGGAGAACCAACGUGAGGCAAUGGAGCAACCAACCUGAGCAAUGGGGCAACCCUACAUGGGGCAAUGGGGCACCCAACAUGGCGCAAUGGGGUACCCAACCUGAGUAAUGGGGCAACCAACAUGGCGCAAUGGGGCAACCCUACCUGGGGCGAUGGGACAACCAACCUGAGCAAUGGGACACGCAACGUGGGGCAAUGGGAUGACCCCAUACGGGGUAAUGGGACAACCAACAUGGGGCAAUGGGACAACGAACAUGGGGCAAUGGAUGACCCCACAUGGGGCAAUGGGACAACCAACAUGGGGAGAUGGGACGACCAACAUGGGGCGAUGGGAUGACCCCACAUGGGGCGAUGGGACGACCAACAUGGGGCGAUGGGAUGACCCCACAUGGGGCAAUGGGACAACCAACAUGGGGCGAUGGGAUGACCCCACAUGGGGCAAUGGGACAACCAACAUGGGGCGAUGGGAUGACCCCACAUGGGGCGAUGGGACGACCAACAUGGGGCAAUGGGAUGACCCCACAUGGGGCGAUGGGACGACCAACAUGGGGCAAUGGGAUGACCCCACAUGUGGCAAUGGGACAACCAACAUGGGGCGAUGGGACGACCAACAUGGCGCAAUGGAAGAACCCAACAUGGGGCAAUGGGAUGACCCCAUAUGGGGUAAUGGGACAACCAAUAUGGCGCAAUGGGACGACCAGCAUGGGGCGAUGGGAUGACCCCACAUGGGGCGACGGGACAACCAACAUGGGGCAAUGGAAGAACCCUACAUGGGGCAAUGGAAGAACCCUACAUGGGGUGAUGGGACACCCAACCUGAGCAGUGGGGCAAUCCUACACGGGGCAAUGGGACGACCCUACAUGGGGAAUGGGACAACCAACAUGGGGCAAUGGGGCAACCAAUGUGGGGCAAUGGGAAAACCCCAUAUGGGGCAAUGGGGCACUCAGUGUGGGGCAAUGGGAGGACCCAACAUGGGGCAAUGGGGCAACCAACGUGGCGCAAUGGGACAACCCUACAUGGGGCGAUGGGACAACCAACCUGAGCAAUGGGACACGCAACGUGGGCAAUGGGAUGACCUCAUACGGGGUAAUGGGACAACCAACAUGGGGCAAUGGGACAACGAACAUGGGGCAAUGGGAUGACCCCACAUGGGGCAAUGGGACAACCAACAUGGGGCAAUGGGAUGACCCCACAUGGGGCAAUGGGACAACCAACAUGGGGUGAUGGGACAACUAACGUGGCACAAUGGAAGAACCCAACAUGGGGCAAUGGGAUGACCCCUUAUGGGGUAAUGGGACAACCAAUAUGGCGCAGUGGGACGACCAACAUGGGGCGAUGGGAUGACCCCACAUGGGGCGAUGGGACAACCAACAUGGGGCGAUGGGACAACCAACAUGGGGCAAUGGAAGAACCCUACAUGGGGUGAUGGGACACCCAACCUGAGCAGUGGGGCAAUCCUACAUGGGGCAAUGGGACGACCCUACAUGGGGCAAUGGGGCAACCAACAUGGGGCAAUGGGGCAACCAAUGUGGGGCAAUGGGAAAACCCCAUAUGGGGCAAUGGGGCACUCAAUGUGGGGCAAUGGGAAAACCCCAUAUGGGGCAAUGGGGCACUCAAUGUGGGGCAAUGGGAGGACCCAACAUGGGGCAAUGGGGCAACCAAUGUGGGGCAAUGGGGCACCCAACGUGAGCAAUGGGGCAACCAACGUGGCGCAAUGGGACAACCCUACAUGGGGCGAUGGGAGAACCAACAUGGGGCAAUGGGAUGACCCAACACAAAGAGGAAUGGGGAAACCCAAUGAGAGGAGGAAUGGGAUAACCUAAAACAAAGAGCAAUGGGGAACCCCAAUGAGAAGAGCCAUGGGAUAACCUAAAACAAAGAGGAAUGGGAAACCCCAAUGAGAAAAGGAAUGGGAUAAACCAAUAGAGAGGAAUGGGAAACCCCAAUGAGAAGAGGAAUGGGAAACCCAAUGAGGAGCCAUGGGAUAACCUAAAACAAAGAGGAAUGGGAAAACCCAAUGAGAGGAGGAAUGGGAUAACCUAAAACAAAGAGCAAUGGGAAACCCCAAUGAGAAGAG
rnacentral:lncRNA from 1 species